rnacentral:rRNA from 1 species
CAGCCGCCACGGUAAUCCGUAGGUGGCAAGCGUUGUCCGGAAUUAUUGGGCGUAAAGGGCUCGCAGGCGGUUUCUUAAGUCUGAUGUGAAAGCCCCCGGCUCAACCGGGGAGGGUCAUUGGAAACUGGGAAACUUGAGUGCAGAAGAGGAGAGUGGAAUUCCACGUGUAGCGGUGAAAUGCGUAGAGAUGUGGAGGAACACCAGUGGCGAAGGCGACUCUCUGGUCUGUAACUGACGCUGAGGAGCGAAAGCGUGGGGAGCGAACAGGAUUAGAUACCCCUGUAGUCCCUGUCUCUUAUAC